GUGAGUCAUCGAAUCUUUGAACGCACAUUGCGCCCCUUGGUAUUCCGGGGGGCAUGCCUGUUCGAGCGUCAUUACAACCCUCAAGCUAUGCUUGGUGUUGGGCCCUGCCGGCAACGGCUGGCCCUAAAAUCAGUGGCGGCGCCAUCGUGCUCUCAGCGUAGUAAUUCUUCUCGCUGUUGGGUCUCGGUGGACGCUGGCCAGCAACCCCCAAUUUUUCAGGUUGACCUCGGAUCAGGUAGGGAUACCCGCUGAACUUAAGCAUAUCAAUAAGCGGAGGA
rnacentral:misc_RNA from 1 species